GACGAACGCUGGCGGCGUGCUUAACACAUGCAAGUCGAACGGUGAAGGGGUCUGCUUUUGUGGGCCCUGGAUGAGUGGCGAACGGGUGAGUAACACGUGAGUAACCUGCCCCCUUCUUCUGGAUAACCGCAUGAAAGCGUGGCUAAUACGGGAUAUUCUGGGUCUGUCGCAUGAUGGGUCUGGGAAAGAUUGCGCCUUUGGGUGUUUUUGGUGGGGGAUGGGCUCGCGGCCUAUCAGCUUGUUGGUGGGGUGAUGGCCUACCAAGGCGGUGACGGGUAGCCGGCCUGAGAGGGUGGACGGUCACACUGGGACUGAGACACGGCCCAGACUCCUACGGGAGGCAGCAGUGGGGAAUAUUGCACAAUGGGCGCAAGCCUGAUGCAGCGACGCCGCGUGAGGGAUGGAGGCCUUCGGGUUGUAAACCUCUUUCGCCAGUGAAGCAGGCCUGCUCCUUGUGGGUGGGUUGACGGUAGCUGGAUAAGAAGCGCCGGCUAACUACGUG
rnacentral:rRNA from 1 species